ensembl:snoRNA
GUUGAGGUUUAGCCUGACGGGGCUGUUUCUGCAGACCUACGUCGUUGGGAAUGCCUCAGAUACAUGUGGUUUCCUUAACUCACUCAAAGAAGUCCAACCGAAAG